UGGUGUUGUUACUACAUAGGUAUAACUGGUGGUAAUUCUAGACGCUAAUACAUGCUUAAAAUCUCGACCCUUUGGAAGAGAUGUAUUUAUUAGAUAAAAAAUCAAUGUCUUCGGACUCUUUGAUGAUUCAUAAUAACUUUUCGAAUCGCAUGGCCUUGUGCUGGCGAUGGUUCAUUCAAAUUUCUGCCCUAUCAACUUUCGAUGGUAGGAUAGUGGCCUACCAUGGUUUCAACGGGUAACGGGGAAUAAGGGUUCGAUUCCGGAGAGGGAGCCUGAGAAACGGCUACCACAUCCAAGGAAGGCAGCAGGCGCGCAAAUUACCCAAUCCUAAUUCAGGGAGGUAGUGACAAUAAAUAACGAUACAGGGCCCAUUCGGGUCUUGUAAUUGGAAUGAGUACAAUGUAAAUACCUUAACGAGGAACAAUUGGAGGGCAAGUCUGGUGCCAGCAGCCGCGGUAAUUCCAGCUCCAAUAGCGUAUAUUAAAGUUGUUGCAGUUAAAAAGCUCGUAGUUGAACUUUGGGCCCGGUUGGCCGGUCCGAUUUUUUCGUGUACUGGAUUUCCAACGGGGCCUUUCCUUCUGGCUAACCUUGAGUCCUUGUGGCUCUUGGCGAACCAGGACUUUUACUUUGAAAAAAUUAGAGUGUUUCAAAGCAGGCGUAUUGCUCGAAUAUAUUAGCAUGGAAUAAUAGAAUAGGACGUUUGGUUUCUAUUUUGUUGGUUUCUAGGACCAUCGUAAUGAUUAAUAGGGACGGUCGGGGGGCAUCAGUAUUCAAUUGUCAGAGGUGAAAUUCUUGGGAUUUAUAGAAGACUAACUACUGCCAAAGCAUUUUGCCAAAGGACGUUUUCAUUAAUCAAGAACGAAAGUUAGGGGGAUCGAACGAUGAUCAGAUACCGUCGUAGUCUUAACCAUAAACUAUGCCGACUAGGGAUCGGGGGGUGUUGUUUUAAUGUCCUAUUCGCACCUUCACGAGAAAUCAAAGUCUGUUUGGUUCGCGGGGG
rnacentral:rRNA from 1 species